GGAAAGGAACGUUUGAAAACAUUUAAAAGUCGAACUUCCUCGACCGGUGAUGAAACUUAACCUCCCGGUGUUCCUUGACUCAGAAGCAAAGGGGGCAUCCCUGUUGGAUCACAGUGAAUUGCACUCUGUACUCCAGACGCCUUGCAUUUUAAAUGAGGUCACCUUGGAGGGUGGCUGCAGUCUUCAAAGCAAUCUCAACCUACCUGCCAUUUACUUCUGGAAGGUUUUUGUUUUUUUUUUCAUAAGAAAUUCUGACUGCUUGCAAGAGUCCUUCAGAACAUACAAAGAAAGCAACCUCUAGAAACCUAAACUGAUGUUUAGGAAAAUAACUUGGCAAACUAUUUGUUAAGGAUGUUUCAUGGGUGUAUUAUUAAUGACCAACAAAACUGCAGGAGAGCAAGAGGAUGGGACGUAGAGUAAUGCAGCUGCUGUCAGAUAAUGCCAUCGCUAUUCCUGGGCUUGCAGGCAUCUCAUCUGAAUGAACGCAUUUCCAGUGCUGUCCUCAAAGAGAGCCGGGAGCUCUGGGAACAGGACACAUAAC